CGAAAGCUUUCUCGCACAAUCACAGCUCCAUAUGCUCGCUCGUCUCAACCUGAACCGCAUCAUGACGCCGUCGGCGGGUGCUUCGCUCUGCAGGGCACGAUCAUCGCUGACGGUGUCUGCGCAUCAGUCGCUGCGCGCAGCGCAGCGGCGAUGCGCCACCAAGGCCAAGGCAUCAACCAAGGCAGAGCAGCAAGCAACUUCUGCCUCCGGUGGAGCUGCAGAGGCGAAGGUCACGUCUCAGCAUCCAAUCUCACACGGCCCGCAACGCAAGGACUGGCGCACGCACAAGGAGAUCGUCUACGUCAAGGGUGUUCCAGCCAAGGGGAGCCUCUUCAAGCUGCCAUUGGCGGAGCAGCUUAUCAUUUGCCUUGUCUUUUCCAUUGCCGGGUCAGCCGCGGUGUACCUUGUGCGGCCGCAGAUACGGUACCUCUGCCAUCACGGCUUCCUAGGGCUCACCGACGAGGCGGGGUGGAUGAACGGGCCGUGGCUCUACCGCCUCAUGUACUGCCUCAUCAUGUUCCCCAGCUACUCGCUCAUUCUCUUCGUUGUCGGUGGGUUGUUCGGGCGUCGCAUCUGGUUCUCCUUUAUGAUCCACAAGAUGUGGUCCCGCUUCCUCACACGCAGCGCGUCGCGGCGGCUGGAGCACUUGCUGGACCUGCAGCACUAUUAAGGGGACGGCGGCGUGAGUGGCCCUGUGCCCGUAGCGCGACCGAGGGCCCCUUGGCAUGCAGAGAUGGAGAGGAGGCAGCACGGGUCGAUGCCAGACGCCACAGCUUUCCUCUUGGCUUUGCCGAGUAGUGCGUGUGUGUAUCGCCUUGCCCACUGACUCGCGUUUGCUGUCCCGCCCUUUUUUUGCUUGGCCCUGGCGGUUGUCCUCCCGCCCCUCUGGGCAGCGGGAAUCUGGGUAGAAUGAUGCGAUGGCGGUUGUUGGACACGGCUCAACAUGUGUGUCUGUGUGCCUGUGUAUAAGAGCUUCUAUGAAGUUAUUGGGAAGAAGAACGACUUUGUGAAGAGGAGACCGUGGCGUUCGCUGAAUGCAUCGGGCGAUGUGUCGGGCGAGCGGAUCGCUGCCCCAAAAAGGAGGCGGAGGACAAUAGACGAGGCUGCUGAGUCAAGAAAGGGGCCCGUGUGCCUGGGAACGUGUGUGAACAGCGGGUUCCUUCGCCGAUUGACGCGUCCUCUGCACCGAAUGAAUGGCAGCUGAACAAGUGCGGUUCUACUCCUCUCCCACCCUCCCGCACUUUGGACCGUGGGCGUCGUGUCUCCUGUUGACCUACAAGGCAUAGAGGCAUCUGCCGCUCAUGUCGCUUGCCCUUCCACCUCGUCCGGCUUGCUUUCUAUUCGUCCCUUCUCUCUCACGGAUCUUCGUCCUCAUUUUCGACCUUUUUUUUGUUUCGGUGGCGCACGUACUGCGGCACGCCACACCUUCAG
rnacentral:misc_RNA from 1 species